CCUGAAGAGGAGACAGGCCACAUACCAUCUCCCUUCCAGCUCUUUGCCAAGCUGAGAAAGAACUCGCUUUCUACAGGGCUCUUACAGCCUACCGGGAACCUCUCAAACAAAGGCCUGAAAUGCAGUUGGUUUGCAGACAUGAUCUCACUGCCUUGGAACUUCUGCUCUAAGCCAUGUCCCACAUUGCUCUAGAGAUGGAAGACGCAAAGCACUGAUUCAUUGCCUCCAAAGGAGAAAAGCCAUAAACGUCCUUGCAUCCAUCUCUUUGGGAAGCUAAGAAACAACUCACUGUCCACAGUGCUCUUACAGCCUACUGGGAACAUCUCUCACAAAGGCCUGUGAAACGCAGUUUCUUUGCAGGCCUGAUCUGGCUGAAGUAGAACUUCUGCUCUGGGUGUGCUACAUUGCCCUAGAGCUGAAAGGCACAAAGUGCUUCAUCUUUGCAAAGGGUGAGGUUGGCCCCAGAGCAUCUUGCUUCCAGCUCUUGGGGAAGCUAAGAAACAACUCGCUCUGCACAGUGCUCUUACAGCCUACCGGGAACAUCUCUUACAAAGGCCUAUGAAAUGCAGUUUCUUUGCAGGCCUGAUCUGGCUGAAGUAGAACUUCUGCUCUGGGUGUGCUACAUUGCCCUAGAGCUGCAAGGCAGAAAGUGCAGUCUUUUUUCCAAAGGGCGAGUUGGGCCCCAAAGCAUCCUGCUUCCAGCUGUUUGGGAAGCUUAAUAACAACUCGCUCUGCACAGUGCUCUUACAGCCUACCGGGAACUUCUCUUACAAAGGCCUGUGAAACGCAGUUUCUUUGCAGGCCUCAUCUGGCUGAAGUAGAACUUCUGCUCUCGGUGUGCUACAUUGCCCUAGAGAUGCAAGGCACAAAGUGCUGUCUUCUUUCCAAAGGGCGAGUUGGGCCCCAGACGAUCUUCCUUCCAGCUCUUUGGGAAGCUAAGACACAACUCGCUCUGCACAGUGCUCUUACAGCCUACCGGGAACAUCUCUUACAAAGGCCUGUGAAAUGCAUUUUCUUUGCAGGCCUGAUCUGGCUGAAGUAGAACUUCUGCUCUGGGUGUGCUACAUUGCCCUAGAGCUGAAAGGCACAACGUGCAGGCUUCUUUCCAAAGGGCGAGUUGGGCCCCAAAGCAUCUUGCUUCCAGCUCUUUGGGAAGCUAGAAAACAACU
rnacentral:lncRNA from 1 species